rnacentral:lncRNA from 1 species
GCCUUCCAGGUCUCAAGGCACUGGUCUCAGGGUCAUUAAGAGACCUGAGACCUGUGACCUGUGACCAGAGAAAUGCCCAGUCGUGGGCCGUAGGUGCACAUUUACACAAGACCUCCCCCGGGCUGUAGGCAGCGGGGCUCCUGCAGGGACACAGACGGGGAGAGGGAGGGUGGCCUCGAGCCAGGUCAGCCUACGGGUCAGGGAGACGCCGCUGGGCGAGCGCAGGGCUGGGGAGGGACGUGCAGAGGCCGGCGUUCACCAGUACAGACUCAUGAGUGCCAGCUGGCUGCCAGGCACUCUCCUGGGUGUGGGAAUACCUGAAGGACAUCACAGGAAAAAGUCCUUCCCUGAUGGGGCCAACAUUCUGAUGUGGUGAGACAGAAAAUAAUGAUACCGAACAGACGGUGCAACCUCUUAGAACGUACUACAUCCUGUGGAGAAAGUAAUCAGAGCACGUUACUGGGCUAAGAGACGUUAAGCAGUUUUUGCAAGACCAAGGAGUCUGGUGCGUGGCCACGUUGGGAUUCAAACCGAGAUGGCUGCAAUGGGUGGAACGGUGCCCACCAAAAAGAUGUUGACGUCCUAAUUUGGAGUGAUGUGACCUUAUUUGGAGACGGAGUCUCCACAGAGGGAAUCAAGUUAAAAUGAGGGCGUUAGGAGGGGCCCAACCCACUAGGACUAUGUCCUUAUGAAAGGGGGGGAGUUUGGACACAGACACGGACACAGGGAGACUGCCGUGCGAAGAUGAAGGCAGAGAGCGGGGUGCUGCUCCUACAGGCCGAGGAGCCCCGAAGAUGGUCAGCAAACGCCCAGAAGCUAGGGGAGAGGCAGGGAGCAGAUUCUCUCCCACAGCCCUCAGGAGGAACCAACCCCGCCGACACUUGGAUCUCAGACUUCUCAGUUUGUGGGACUUUGUUACGGCAGCCGUGGGACACUGAGGCGGGGGCUGACUCAGGAGCCUGCGACUUAAGCCACCAAGUUACACAGCCGUGUUGCUGACCCCGUGCUGCGGUUACAGCUGGCUUCCACAGGGCCAGAUCUGCCUCUGUUCUCUCUGCUCCGUUAACACUUCCCCAUCUCCUUCCAUCUCUUGUGUACUAUUUUCUCCAUAGUAUUAAUGGAAGUCAUCUCUACUCUUUCCUGUCAAAGACCUGACUCACGUCCCUGUGACUCCACCUUCCUAGGUCACUGGGAAUUCCAGAAACACACACGAGAACUACGUGUGCUCUCAGAGCCCCGGAGUGUGGCUCGUGCCACUCCCUGCCUGCCAUGCCCUCCCUCUCUGCCUGUGACCACCUGGAAAAUCUCCCUCAUCCUUCAAGGGGGAGUUCCUCCAGUCCCUUCCAGAACGCCAUCCCUUCUGUGAGACUUGCUCUCUCCCUCCUCUUAUACCAACAGCCUGAGAACAUUUCCAUUUGAACCGUCGUUGCUAAAGGACACGGCUAUCUUCUUCAGUACCUUGAAUGCUUGAAGGCCAGGGAAUAGUAGGAGUUUUAAAACUUCCCCGCCUUCCAAGAGAAAUGAGCCUGUAGACUUCAGCCUGGACUCCCUCACCCCUUCUUUCUCUCCUCGUUUCUCAAAUUUGCCUUCCUGUGAGAAAGAAAUAUCUUCAAAUUGCUGUCUACUUGGCAUGUGUCUAUCCUAUUAACAGAUUUUCAAUCCAAGCAAGACAGACUUAUCCCACUUCCUUCCGGUCCCCUUCCUGUGUUUUAACAAGGUUUUGUCAUCUCCUUGAGCUAGCCUCAGCACACACCAUCUGGCUGGGUGAGCGUUUGAUUCUGGCACUGGAGGGUGGGGUCGGUUGGAGCCAUCUAGCCGUAUACUGUAAAAGAACAGAAACGGAAUAAAAACAUUCAGUUUUAGGCCAUGGAUGCUGUCCAGUUCCAGACUGAGGCAGAGGCGUGGCUCCUCCAGGCGUGGACAGCUGCUGGCUCUCGGUGACCUCUGCCGCCCCACGGGACGCCUGCCCUUGACGGCCGCAAGGGUUUGGAGAGGCUGCUGGCGUGGCCCUUCGCAGGGACCGAGCUGAGAACUCUUCUCCUUUUUGGGAAAACAAAUCAACCUCCUGUGGGGAAACCGCAAUCCGGACAGGUUUUCCUCGAGAAGAAUCCGUCUGACUUAUGGCUCUCUGUGGUGGCUUUCUGCCUUGGACCUUGGAAAGUUAAGGCCACUCCGUGCUGCGGUGGCUGCUUCCCUGAGCAGCCUCAGAGCUCUGAGUUUUCUGAGUUAACCCAAGACGCCUGCAGUUGCCUGACCAGGAGGAAAGUGGGGACUUAAACUCUGCUUUCUUCUCUACCAACACAGCCCAACAGGUCCACAGGCACAGUGUCACCCUACAGACAUUUAAGGGGCCCCUGCAGCGUGUUUCAAGCGUGGGGCUCGCCCUGGGGUUGGGAGGGGUGGUGGAGUCGUGUUUCCUGCUUGCUUUUCCAUCCUGUGUCAGAUGGGUAUACUCUACGCUGAUGCAACAACAAGACCCUACAGGGCAGGAGCUUUUACAAGACAGAAGUUGAGUUCUCCUUCAGGUCCUAGUCCAGAGACGGAUAGUCUGCUGGCGUGGUCCUCCCACAUUCACUGUGUAUGUUCCUGCUUUCGGUCCCACCCAAACCUCAGUAUCCCAGGUCGGGGAAGAGAGAAAGGCGAGUGCUCACCAGGGUUACCCUCACAUCCCAGUAGCCAAAACUUGGGAGCAUGGCCACCUCUGGCUGUAAGGGAUGUUGGGAAAUGCAGUCUCCAGUGGCAUGCCCAUGGGCCUAGCUAAAAGACACAGGUCCUUUAUUGCAGAACAAAUAGUGAUGGACACAUGCUAGCCUCUGUCAACCGUUCUUUCAUUUCUUCACCCAGGCGACAAUUAGCUAUUGGGUGCCAGUUGUGUAUUUGGUACUGCUUCUAUGCAGGUGCCUGUGUGAACAUAUGCUCACUGAAAGUCACACCAUGCUCUGUCCCCCGAUAGGGGUUCCAAAGCUGUGGAUCUUCUUGGAAGGAGAGCUUCACUCUGACCAGAGAGAGUCAUCUGUUCAUUCAGUCUGUUUACUGAGCGCUGGCAGCAGCCUCUGCAAUGGCCCCAGUGAUGCCCGUCCUGGUGUUCACGUCCUCAUGUGUCCCCUCCCCUUGAGAGGAGGCUGCACCUGGUGACUUGCUUCUAACAAAUGGAACCCCGCGAAAGUGAUGGAGGUCACAUCUGAGAUGACGACUUGAGCAGAGAACUGUUGACAUGUUUCCAUGGAAUAAUUGUGGUUCCCAUUGAAGAACUGGCUCAGGCGAUGUUUGCUGCUUUCACAGGAAUUACAGGCCUGUGAGCCAGCAGCGACCGCAUACACCUUUGCAGUCAUCGGAACCAGCGUUCUCGACACUGAAAGCAAAAUCAAGUAAACAAAGUCGUGUCGUGGUCUUCCUUGACCCGGACUUUCAGGAAGAAGCUGACACACUGCCCAGACUCGCGCUCACCCACAUAGCUCCGGAGCCAAACAAACCGGAGAAGCUCGUGUUUUCCCAGCUGUAUGAUGCACUCGCUUCACCCGACGGCUGGCCAGGAAACAAGGGGAAGAAAAAAAACACGCCCGGUUCAGACCAGGCAGGGAGAGAAGAACGGCUUCCGCUGGCCUUUGUUGUUUUAUUCUCAUGAACUAUCAAGAAAUGUAAAAAAUGGAGGAAGGCGGAACUACGGCUUUUAGUUACCGAAAAGGAAAGAAGAUCUUUUUUUUUUCUUUUGAAGAUCUGAUCAUGUUAUUACUCUGCUUUCAAACUUCAGUGACUUUCUGCUCCACGGUCUUCAAACCCCUGCCAGGUCUUUCACAACCGGUCCGACACACCCUUUCCAGACACAUCUGCCCCGUUUCCUCCCACUCAAUGCUGUGUUCGAGCCUUGCCAGGCUGCCGUUGUUUGAGAUACUUCAUGUGCUUUCUUGCCCAUGUGCUUCUGUGCCUCUAUUCCUUCUGCUAGUAAUACCCUUCCUUGCCUUGAUCUCUAAGGAAACUCUAACUCAUCUUUCAAGACCACUUAGAAAGACGUUUGUCACUGUCACUCCCUCAAUAACAGAACUCACUGCUCCUUUGUGUGUCUCCCCAUAGGGCCACUUUGUGGUCUCUUAUGGCACUAAUUCCUUGGGGCAUUCAUUCAUUCAACCACAUUCAUUGUCUUUGUGCUUUGCACCGGAUACCCUGCUAGGCAGUGGGGCUCCAGGAAUAAAAGUUCCCAACUAGAAGGAGCCUCAGGCAAGUAAACAACUGUUGCAAGACAGAAUUGUCAGUUCUUUGGUAGAGGUAAGCACAGGGUGUUCUGGGAGAUCAGAGGAGGGUCACAUACCCCAGUCUGAUUGGUGGGAGAGGACGUGGAAGGCUUCCUGGAGGAGGUGGCACCUGAAAAGCCUAAAGGACAAGGAGUUUUUGUAUCCAUCUCCUCAUUCUUGGCAGAGCACUCCUUGAGGAAAGAGGUCAAUCAUAGAUUAUAUCAAAUCAGGUUAUUUAUUCCACACGUUUAUUAAGCUCUUUGCUAGGAGACAAAC